GUCACGGCACAUGGCCACUGAGUGGACUGUUGGUGGCUGCCCCCGAGUGUGGCCCUGGGUGGCGUCACGGCAUGUGGGCACUGAGUGGGCUGUUGGUGGCCGCCCCCAGUGCAUGUGUCACUUACAGGGCAUGAUGCUACUGAAGUUUGUGAAGUUGGUUUCAUUGAUGCUGUUACUAAGACUGUAAUGUCAGACAUGUUGGGAUCUGUUCUUUUCAAAUAAAAAGGAUGACUUCCUCUUGUUGGGUGUCACCUAGUCUGGGCGGAGUGGGAGCCGUGACUCUUGACUCAUUGGGCCGUCUGGCUUUCCCGGGGCACCUCCACCUGGAGAGUGCCUCUGAGAACCUCCCAGAGUCUGCCCCUUGUGUUCCUCAGAUGGACUUUUCGUUUCCUGGAGUUUUGUCAUGAGGCUUAAUUAACUCAUGUCUCUCUCUCUUUUCUUUCAGUCUGCAACUGUGUCUGAUGGCGAGUUGACGGGCGCCGACCUGAAGGACUGCGUCAGCAACAACAGCCUGAGCAGCAAUGCCAGCCUCCCCAGCGUGCAGAGCUGCCGGCGCCUGCGUGAGAGGAGGGUCGCCAGCUGGGCCGUGUCCUUCGAGCGCCUGCUGCAGGACCCCGUCGGUGUCCGCUACUUCUCUGUGAGUAGGGAAGAGCUCAGGACCAGCAGAGUGGUCUGUGCUCUGCAGAGACUACCGAGCAGGAUCCGUGGGCCGCCCUAGGGACAGCGGCACCCUGUGGGCCCUGAGCAGCCCUGUGGCCUGGACCGCCUGCCCUCCCUGGACCGCCACCCUCUCAAGAGCUCAGAGGCGGGUGGGUUGAAUCCUGCCCCUGGUUCUGCCCCCAGGGAGCGUCCCUGGCCCUCCCGCUCCCUACUGGGGUCUCUCUGCAGCCCGCAACACUGGAGCUUCCUGUGUGCGUUGAGAAGCUGGGUGCCUGUUGCCAGCUCUUCAAAGAGAUGUUUUGCUUUUGGGGAAACAGCUGGAAGCAGCAGUGCGGUUCCCUAAAGUGCUGGGCAGCGAUGAGGUUUCUCUCUCCAGGCCCUCGGGCAGCUCAGUGAGCAGCCGGUGACUCCGUGGUUUCUGUAGAAGGGGAAGUAGGAAAAAGGAGGACCCUGUGUCAAUGUUAAUAAAUGGUGUCUUUCUUAGGAUUUUCUAAGGAAAGAAUUCAGUGAAGAAAACAUUUUAUUCUGGCAGGCCUGUGAAUAUUUUAAUCAUGUUCCUGCACAUGACAAAAAGGAGCUUUCCUACAGGGCCCGGGAGAUUUUCAGUAAGUUUCUCUGCAGCAAAGCCACCACCCCGGUCAACAUCGACAGCCAGGCCCAGCUAGCAGACGAUGUCCUCCGCGCACCUCACCCGGACAUGUUCAAGGAGCAGCAGCUCCAGAUCUUCAAUCUCAUGAAGUUUGAUAGCUACACUCGGUUUCUGAAGUCCCCGCUGUACCAGGAAUGCAUCCUGGCGGAAGUGGAGGGCCGCGCACUCCCGGACUCGCAGCAGGUCCCUAGCAGCCCGGCUUCCAAGCACAGCCUCGGUUCAGACCACUCUAGUGUGUCCACGCCAAAAAAGUUAAGCGGAAAAUCAAAAUCCGGCCGAUCCUUGAAUGAAGAGCUGGGGGAUGAGGACAGCGAGAAGAAGCGGAAAGGCGCGUUUUUCUCGUGGUCACGGACCAGGAGCACCGGAAGGUCCCAGAAGAAGAGGGAGCACGGGGACCAGGCAGACGACGCCCUGCAUGCCAAUGGAGGCCUGUGUCGCCGAGAGUCGCAGGGCUCUGUGUCCUCUGCGGGGAGCCUGGACCUGUCAGAGGCCUGCAGGACUUUGGCGCCCGAGAAGGACAAGGCCACCAAGCACUGCUGCAUUCAUCUCCCAGAUGGGACAUCCUGCGUGGUGGCUGUCAAGGCGGGCUUCUCCAUCAAAGACAUCCUGUCCGGACUCUGUGAGCGGCAUGGCAUCAACGGGGCGGCCGCGGACCUCUUCCUGGUGGGCGGGGACAAGCCUCUGGUGCUGCACCAAGACAGUAGCAUCUUGGAGUCAAGGGACCUGCGCCUAGAAAAGCGCACCUUGUUUCGGCUGGAUCUUGUUCCAAUUAACCGGUCAGUGGGACUCAAGGCCAAGCCCACCAAGCCCGUCACGGAGGUGCUACGGCCCGUGGUGGCCAAGUACGGCCUGGACCUCAGUGGCCUGCUGGUGAGGCUGAGUGGAGAGAAGGAGCCCCUGGACCUUGGCGCCCCUAUAUCGAGUCUGGAUGGACAGCGGGUUGUCUUGGAGGAGAAGGAUCCUUCCAGAGGAAAGGCAUCCACAGAUAAACAGAAAGGUGUGCCAGUGACACAGAACACAGCUGUAAAUUCCAACUCCAGAAACCACUCGGCUACGGGAGAGGAAAGAACACUAGGCAAGUCUAAUUCUAUUAAAAUAAAAGGAGAAAAUGGAAAAAAUGCUAGGGAUCCCCGGCUUUCAAAGAGAGAAGAAUCUAUUGCAAAGAUUGGGAAAAAAAAAUAUCAGAAAAUUAAUUUGGACGAAGCAGAGGAGUUUUUUGAGCUUAUUUCCAAAGCUCAGAGCAACAGAGCAGAUGACCAACGUGGACUGCUAAGGAAGGAAGACCUGGUGUUGCCAGAGUUCCUCCGUUUACCUCCUGGUUCCACAGAACUCACCCUCCCCACUCCAGCUGCUGUGGCCAAGGGCUUUAGCAAGAGAAGCGCCACAGGCAACGGCCGGGAGAGCGCCUCCCAGCCCAGCGAGCAGUGGGAGCCAGCCCAGGAGAGCAGCGACAGCCCGUCCACCAGCCCAGGCUCAGCCCCCAGCCCCCCUGGACCUCCCGGGACAACCCCUCCCGGGCAGAAGUCUCCCAGCGGGCCCUUCUGCACUCCCCAGUCCCCCGUCUCCCUCGCGCAGGAGGGCACCGCGCAGAUCUGGAAGAGGCAGUCUCAGGAAGUGGAGGCCGGGGGCAUCCAGACGGUGGAGGAUGAGCACGUGGCCGAGCUGACCCUGAUGGGGGAAGGGGACAUCAGCAGCCCCAACAGCACCUUGCUGCCGCCGCCCUCUGCCCCCCAGGACGUGCCAGGACCUUCCAGACCAGGAAGUGGGACCCAUGGCAGCCGAGGCCUCCCGGUCAACAGAAUCAUCGAUGUGGAUCUUGUAACUGGCUCGGCGCCCGGGCGGGAUGGUGGCAUAGCGGGGGCACGGGCUGGCCCUGGGAGGUCGCAGGCCAGUGGUGGGCCUCCUACGUCAGACCUCCCUGGCCUGGGCCCCGUCCCAGGUGAGCCUGCUAAGCCCAAGGCCAGCGCGCACCACGCCACCUUCGUCUGAGCUGCCCUGGCCUGGCCAACUCUCCUGUGGAUGUGUCGGGGUGGGGCCGCCCAGGUGGAUUCUUUGGGCCUCAGAGGGGCCACCCUGGCCACCACACCCUCAGGAGCCCAGCCAGGAGGGCAGGGGGUGACCUCGCUGGAGGCACUGGUCCCGGACAUUCACCAUGCUGGCCAUGGGGCUCCCUGGCCCUGGCCCCCUGCUGCCCAAUAAAGCAUUUCUGA
rnacentral:sRNA from 1 species